rnacentral:rRNA from 1 species
UACGUAGGGGGCGAACGUUGCUCGGAAUUACUGGGCGUAAAGGGUGUGUAGGUGGCUGAGCAAGUCGUUGAUGAAAUCCCGAGGCUCACCCUCGGAACUGUCUUCGAAACUGCUCAGCUUGAGGAUAGUUGAGGAGAACGGAAUUCCCGGUGGAGCGGUGAAAUGCGUAGAUAUCGGGAGGAACACCAGAGGCGAAGGCGGUUCUCUGGGCUAUUCCUGACACUGAAACACGAAAGCUAGGGGAGCAAACGGG